UCAUGUACUCUAUCGGAUGGUAAGUAAGUUUAACAAUAAGAAGACAAAUCUUUCAGUAGAACAUGAGCAUACAACUUUUCAGUAUACUUUUUGACAUUAUAUGCUAUAGUGCACACAUACUCUAUUAUUAAUGCAGAUUCACCAAAAGAUUUAUCUGGAAACUUUUCAGUUUUUGGCAGGGAGUGGCAUAAGAAAAACUCAGUCUGGUGCACUAAGUCUCAGAAUUCCAAUACACAGAACCACAACCUAUAACUAAUCCUUCAGCGUCACUGCCUGUAGAUUAUGGAACUCCUUACCAGAUUCUGUCAAACAAAUUGAGAGCCAGGAAUGAUUUGUGGGGGAGCUAAGACGAAGAUACCUGGACCGGAUGAUUGUGGGAAGCAGGAGAGGGAUGCUUUACUCACCGGAUAAUUGCACUGGAACGGAGCGAAGCUGUUGAGCCUGGAUAUUGGUGUGGGAUCUCGCACCCACUGGAUGGCCUGCCAGUUGGUCAACAGCCACACCUCCGGCAUCUUAGUGAUGGUGUCCAAGAAGGCGAUGAAGCCUUCUUUGUGGUGCGGCUGUGUGAACCAUGCUGCAUGAUAGAACAGCCCGAACGGUGACCUAGGUACAGUCAAGUAUUUCAUCAGUUGUAUACCUUUCUCGAUAUUAACUUCGCACACUUCAACUUCAGACAGUAUGAAAUCAAAAUAAGUUUGGUAUUAUUAUAUGGUACCUGUUUGAUGUGAAGUGACGCUCAAAGUUCUUGACAAGCAUCUUGUAUACACCGUCCGCUGUGGGAGGGUUACU